GACAGAGGUGCCGAGCGUUAGGCGGAAUCACUGGGCUUAAAGCGUGCGCAGGCGGUUCGCUGUGUCCUGUGUGAAAGCCCCGGGCUUAACCUGGGAAUGGCAUGGGAAACUGGCGGGCUGGAGUGUGGCAGAGGGGGGUGGAAUUCCGCGUGUAGCAGUGAAAUGCGUAGAGAUGCGGAGGAACACCGAUGGCGAAGGCAGCCCCCUGGGCUAACACUGACGCUCAGGCACGAAAGCGUGGGGAGCAAACAGG
rnacentral:rRNA from 1 species